AUUAAAGCGGUACGCGAGCUGGGUUCAGAGCGUCGUGAGACAGCUCGGCCUCUAUCCUGUGUCAGCGUUGGAUUCUUGAAGGAGCUUGUUUCUAGUACGAGAGGACCGAAAUGAGGCAAUCCCUAGUGUUCCUGUUGUCGCCGUCAGGCGCAGCGCAGGGUAGCUACAUUGCUGUUGGAUAACCGCUGAAAGCAUCUAAGCGGGAAGCCGUCCCUAAGAUGAAGAAUCCCCAUUAAACUGGUCGGAGAUGACGACCUUGAUAGGCAGCCGGUGUAAGCCUGGUAACAGGUUAAGCCUAGCUGUACUAAUGCUUGAUUGA
rnacentral:rRNA from 1 species